rnacentral:rRNA from 1 species
GAAUAUUGGACAAUGGGGGCAACCCUGAUCCAGCAAUGCCGCGUGUGUGAAGAAGGCCUGCGGGUUGUAAAGCACUUUCAGUAGAGAAGAAAAGCCUAAGGUUAAUAACCUUGAGUCUUGACGUAACCUACAGAAGAAGCACCGGCUAACUCCGUGCCAGCAGCCGCGGUAAUACGGAGGGUGCAAGCGUUAUCCGGAAUUACUGGGUUUAAAGGGUGCGUAGGCGGCUUUGUAAGUCAGGAGUGAAAGUUUGCGGCUCAACCGUAAAAUUGCUUCUGAUACUGCAUAGCUAGAAUCAGGAUGAGGUCAGCGGAAUGUGGCAUGUAGCGGUGAAAUGCAUAGAUAUGCCAUAGAACACCAAUUGCGAAGGCAGCUGGCUAGACCUGUAUUGACGCUGAGGCACGAAAGCGUGGGGAGCGAACAGG